UUGUUGUUUUUGUGCAUGCUAAGAUUUUACAAAUACGUUUAGACGCCGUCCGAUCCUUCCCGAGAAUUUUCCAAAACUUUUUCAGAACUUUUUCCCAUUUUCCUAGAACAAAAUCUUUUUUUAUAUGCUCUAAAAUUCUUUUUCAUGGACACCAAAAACUUUUUUUGGAUUGAUCAACUCUCAAUAUAUCUCUAAAAGUUUUCCUUUAAUUUUUAGAAUUUUGGAAAUAUUUUUCAGGGCUUUAAAAUAAUUUCAGCUUUUUCUGGAAUUAUUUUGAACUAAAAAUGAAUUUAUAAAAAUCCCGUAAUUAAUAAUUUUUGAAACGUUUCCAAACCCUAGACCUAUAUAUAUGCCGGUGUUCGUCUCGUCGCGCUGAUCACAGAUCUAAAAAUCCCAUCGCGAGCCGCCACCCGUAGCUCCCUCCAUCUCUCGCCGAAGUUUGCAAAAGCUAGGUUUCCGGCGAACUCUCCGGUGAGUUUUUCCGACAAAACCACGGCGUCCCGGCGUUAGCCAUCACCAUGACGAGGUUCAUCCAUGGCCGGCCCUCAUCUUCGUUCCCGGCCGUCCCGACGUCAAGCGCCGCCAUCCGACGCGACCCCGUCCUCCGCUGCCGCCCCAUCUCACGGUCCUACGCUGCUCGUCCCGCGCCGUUCGCGUGCGCAGGAGCAGCAGGCUGCCGCCGUCCGUGCUGUGCACGUGCGUGCAGGACAGCCGGCCUCACCUCGGCCCUGCACCGUCGUGGCCUAGCGCUGCUGCGUGGCUGCGCGCCGUUGCCGGCCAGCAAACCCGCGGCCGAGGCCCCUGCAUCCGGCGCGGGUGCAGCGCACCAUGGCUGCUAUGGCAACGAUCUCCAACAGACCGAGGUUGAAGAUGACGUGUGUUUGCUUGUGUUGCGGUUUGAUGUGGCCCGCGAAUAGCUGAAGAUCGGUUCAAUAGCGCUGAAGACCCGGAGCUGAGGACCAAUAUGCAUAGCAGAGGCUAAAGAUCAGAGAUAGAAAUUGAAGACUUCUGAGCAAUUAUACUUUGGGGAAAU